rnacentral:lncRNA from 1 species
AAUAUUUACUAUCUUGCCCGUUACAGAAAAUGUUUGCCAAACCCAUGUUAUGUAUGUGAAUCACUUGAGCUUUAGAGAUGUACAAAUAUUCAACACUACCCUUAAGUAAUUUAGACUUAAUUAGUCUCUGGUGAGGCCUAAAUAUCAGUAUUUAAAAAAAAAAAAUUCUAAUGCUGCAGCCAAUCUAUGUAGGAAGCCAAAGUAACCAGAAGGUUGUGAGGAAAUCAUGGAUGCAGAACAAAGAGAAUCAAGAAAGUAACUUGAGUACCCGUCCUCCCAGUCCAUGCCUGUCAGCAUACAGGCCACUUGAGUCAGCAUGCCAAGGCACAUUCUUCUGAGUCAGCGCUCAUCCCUGUUCCUAUUCACCUCUGUGACCUUGAUGUUCCUACGUUUCCAAACUUAACCAGCUACUCUGUUGAUUGGCACAUUCUUCCUGUGCAUUCACCAGUUAAUCCUGCCUUAUCAGCCUGAGGCCCAUUCUGUCUCUCUAACAUGAUUUUGUUUAUGUCUGUUCUGAGUCACUAUGUGCUGCUUUAAUAGGUUUCUUAAGACCAAUCUGAUUUUUCUGUUUUGUUGUUUUCCAAAAUGUUUCCUAGUUGCCUCAGUGCCCGUGCCUUAGACAGCUUACAUUCCAAUUGCUGCUUUUCUUGGGUAUCUUUGCAUCUCCAGCCUGACAUCAACUAGUCAGUUAAGUGUUUGGUGGAUGGGCUCAUUGGUAGCUGAAUAAGUGAACGGAUGAAUGAGUGGGGAAGAAAAGUUGGAAAAAAAAAUACAGGAGGAAUUUUGUAGACUAUGUAUUGUGAGUACAGUGAAUUUUAAUGCUCUAGAGCUUACAGACUAUAAAUAAUGAUUUAUUAUAAAACGUGCUAACAAAUCAGAAUGUCCAGAUUCAAAUCCUGACUCUGCUAUUUUCUCUGGAAAGCCCCAUGGGAAGAUCCCUUUGCCUUUAUUAAUAAGACUGUGGAUAUCUGUAAGGUGGGAAGAGUAACACACACUUCACAGAAUAGUAUGGGGAUGACUUAUCAAAUACAGUAGCACCUACUGUGAUGCCUGACUCAUAAUAGCUUCUAAAUAGUCUCCUUCUUCUUCCUUCUAUUUAGCUAAGGCAUCCUUUUGCACUUAAAAGGACCUGA